UUAAAGAGUACAACAAAACCAAAGGCCUUUCUGAUCAAACAAGAAAGAAACUUGUUAACAUCUUGGUGGCGGAUAUGAUCGAGAGUCAUGGGAGGGUCCCAACAGUCAAUGUCCGCAUUACCUAUGCCAUGGGAAUAGUCACCCUUUUCCCCUAUUUGAAGGAUAAGGCUUCACCAACUGGUUAUGAACAUUACUAUGAUCCUCACAGUGGCCAGGGUUACCUGGCCUACAGAUUGAAGACGGUUCAGCGCAAAAGUUAGUGUCUACAAGAGGAGCUCCAAGUCUGUUUAUCAAGAUGGCCCUAAGACCUUGCGCGAG